GUCUAUUCAGAGUGUCCGACUAGACAAAGAAUUUUGAGCAGCCGUCAUCAAUCAUACCAAAUUAAACUAAAUAUUUUAACCAAUUUUAAUUCUUCAGACACGCCAGAUUUGCACCUAGUUAAAGACAUUCUUGUACACCCCCCCACUUACUACCCACCAUGCUCUCUCCCGCUUUGUCCGCGUGUACCACGCGCUCCAUCUCCAGUACCUCAGCUUUCAAUCCAUAAUCAAAGUCAAGCAAGCUGCACUCUUUUUCACGAAUCCUUCCAAAACAAAAUCCAGAAUCCCAUCAUUUAUCCCACACAUUCUCAUUCAAAUCUUUCGCCAUUUUUAUUGUUUGAACAGAUUUACAUUUCCAUUUUUAAAACUUCCAUUGAGGGAAACCACGUUCCAGCUGUAACAAAGAUUCUCGAGAAAAACCCCCACUUUGCUCCCACUGAAAAAAAAAUAAAAAAAUUGUUCAAGAUUCAAAUCUUUCUCAAUCUCGGCUCUUCGCGUUUAUAGGUAGAUGGAAAAGGAAAGUUUGUGAAGCCCACAGUUUUCUGGAAAUUUUCGUAAGAUUCUUGAAACCUCUGAUUCAAUUCGCGCACCAAAAAAUAAGUUAUUCUUUAAUUCUUCAAUAAUGUGGCUGAUUCUGUAUCUGGGAUGAUAUAUAUUUUGUAAAAAUUUGAUCUUUUUCAACUUCACACCGCAAAAAAGAGCAAAAUCAUUGUGUGAUGACGAGGAGAGGGCAUAGGGAAGUGAUGAUGGAGGGAUUGAAUUUGAAUGAGCCCACCAAGAUUCGGAAAAGGGGAUGCUCAUCUUCGCCAUCUUCAUCAUCAAGAAUUUACAAUUAUAGGCUGAGCAAACGGGCCAUAUUGGUAGGGAAGAACCGUGGGGUCGGGCUGGGGCGGUCCCGAUCCAGCACCCCCGUGCCGACGUGGAGAACCACCCCUUUGAGGGGCGCCAUUGAGACUCCCAAGUACUCGCAGGGCGGGAGAUCGGCCCGGCCCGUCUCGGCCCGGAGGCUUGCUGCCACGCUCUGGGAGAUGAACGAGAUGCCGUCGCCCAAGAUGAGCGAGAGCAAUUUGGAUGUCAGGAAGCGGCAGCAGAGGAAGAGCGGCAGCAGGAUGUCGCUCAAAGCUGAGAAAUUAAUGCACUCUGGAUUCGGGCUGCAUUCGGGCUCGGGCUCGGGCUAUUUGCCGCCGCACUUGUCCGAUCCGCCUCACAGCCCGACUGUUUCUGAGAAAAUGGAUCGGUCGGGAACAGGCAGUCGUCGUAGGCCGUCCAUUUCUCAGAAGCUUAUGUCUGCUGAUCGAAACAGUGGACCUAUUGAUUCUGUUAGCAAUGCCAGUUUUAUGGAGAUUGAGACUCGAUCACGCCCCCAGAUUUCAAGUGAAUCCGGCGUUGGUGGGAAGAAUCGUUUGAAGGAAGCAAGCAGUGCUCUGACUACCUCAAAAGAGCUGUUGAAGAUCAUCAACCGCCUCUGGGCUCAAGCGGAUCAGCCCUCGUCUAGCAUGUCCCUCAUCUCGGCCCUCCACUCCGAGCUCGAGAGAGCUCGUUUGCAGGUCAAUCAGCUCAUCCAAGAGCAACGGUCAGAGAAGAACGACAUCAACUAUCUCAUCAAGUGUUUUGCCGAGGAGAAGGCCUCUUGGAAAAACAAAGAGCAUCUAGCCGUGGAAGCUGCAGUGGGGUCCCUUGCCCAUGAGCUAGAGGCAGAGCGAAAGCUGAGGAGGCGGCUUGAGAGCUUGAACGCGAAACUUGGCAAGGAGCUAGCAGAGAUCAAGUCGUCAUUCAUGAAGGCGGUCAAAGAAUUGGAGAGCGAAAAACGAGCAAGAGAGAUAACCGAACAGGUGUGUGAUGAGCUAGCAAGAAACAUCGAUGAGGAUAGGGCCGGAGUGGAGAAGGUGAAGAGGGAGUUUGUCGGAGUUCAUCAAGAGGUGGAAGAGGAGCGCGAGCUGCUGGAAUUGGCCGAUAAGUUGCAUGAGGAACGAGCCCAAAUGAAGCUCUCCGAGGCCAAACUUCAAUUCGAGGAGAAGAGCUCUGCUGUUGGCAAGCUGAGGAAGCAACUCGAAGCUUUCCUUGGAACGAAACGGGACAAAGUUGAUGAAGAUGUUGAGGAUGGUGUAGACAGCAAAGAAGAAGGCUCUGCAGAGAGUGAUCUUCACUCCAUUGAGUUGGACUUGAUCAACAACAAUAACAACGAUAAAGGGCACAACAAAUGGGCUUAUACCUCUGCAGUUGAACGCGAGUCUAGGAGAGUACCGGUUAGUAAUGAGACCAGAGCAAGAAACUCCAUCUCCGGGCAGGUCUCUCGUAGGAGCACUUCUCUGCAGAGGAGCGCGUCUGAUGGAGUCGAAUGGGCAGCUCAAGGUGCAGGCAACCAACACAUAAUCAACGAGGGAUUUCAUGAAGACGAUAAGGAAGCUCCAAUGAGUAGCUAUUUGGACGAAAUGCAGAGGCUCAGAACUAGUAAAGGUUUCAAGAAUCACUUACUAUCAAGCUCUCGGUUAGGGAGAGAAAACCAUAGUCCAUCGAAGAAGAAGGAACAUUCGUAUCCUCCCAGAGAUGUAAGUCAUGAAAAAUCCAAGUCAAGAACAGCACAAGGCAGCAGGAGAUCUAAAUGGUGACGUUUUUAACUGCUGUUGAAGAUUAGUCAGCACGUUUUCGUUGCAAGCUGACAUCUUCUAGCUGAGGAAAUAUGAACAAGUUAACACCUUGUUGAUUUGUGGUACAAAAUCGAGCUCUUGCGCCUUCCUCAAACGCGCUCGUCUCCAUGUUUUGCGUCGCACUAGACGCGACAGACUCCAUCUUCCACUUCUUCAUUUUGGAAGAUGCUGGCAUCGCCUUGCUACAUCUGAGUGGUACAAAAUUUUCAGAAAUGUGAUAUUGACAUUACUGAAUUUUCUACAAGCACUUGGCAUCUGCUACUACUUUCAUCUCCUAUUUUAUUUCAUUAAAACUUUGUUUAGCUGUUUAGUUUGUGUUUCCUCAAAAAAAAAAAAAGCUGUUUAGUUUGUAUUGAAAAAAAUCGAGUAAUACCGCCAAGAUUUGGGUAUAAGAAAAUGUCAUUGGCUGAUUGGCAUAUAUUAUUAUUA